ACCACCUAAAAGACCAAAACUACUAGACAUGAUUACAAAGGGAAAGACAAACAUAAAAACAGACUCAUAAUGUAAAAGGCUCCUUAAGCAGCUCCUGAAUGUAGUGAUCCUUGGAUAUAUGUCAUGCUCGAGUCCUGGUAAAUGAAUCCACUUCUGAAUGAGAAAACAUAUACUAAGUAGAUUAAUGACUCAAGACACUUUCGACACCACAACACUUCUUAUUGGACACAUGCAAGACAAGAUUGGGGUAUUUUUGAAAAUUAACCUACACGAUCGAGAGUGGCUAUUAAUGCAAACUCAACAAAGGCGACUACUCAGAUAUGAAAAUACCUUACUAAUGCUUAUACGGAUUCAACUCCCAAUAAUCAUGACCCAAAAAUUAAUUUACUGAAAUGACUCAUUUUGCAAAAACGAUCGAUAUAGCCAGAAGUGGCCAAAGAUAUAAACUCAAAAAGGAAGGACCUUAAAGUAAUAUGACAUCUAGUUGUAGACUCAAAAUCCUAAGACAUGGGUAAUUGAACCACUUCUGCAAAAAUGACACAAUUUUGCUCACAAUGGCCGAUAUGGCCAAAAGUGACUUGACAUGCAAAAUUUGGCCAAGACCCGACAAAGCCUAGAACCUAAGACACUAGGAAGAUCAGACCCUAUGUAGGUUGCCUAUGUAUCACGUCUCGAAAGACGAGAAUCAGGUUCGCGUAAUUCGGGAAGAUCGGACAUGGGAGAAAGCUUUUAAAAAAAUGCAACUAAUUUGAAAAAAAAAACUAUUUUUUGUCUAUCUGAAAAUUGAUGGAAAAUGUAAAAUCUUUUUGGAUUUUUUUUCUCUUUUUUUUGAAUUUUUGAAAAAUAAUGAAAAAGUGUAAAAUCUUUUUGGAUUUUUUCGUCUUUUUUUUUUAAUUUUUGGAAAAUAAGGGGAAACUGUAAAAUCAUUUUAGAUUUUUUUAUUUUUAUUAAAAUAAUGAAAAAGUGUAAAUAUUUUUUUGGAUUUUUUUUUUUAUUUUUGAAAAAAUAUGAAAGAAAAAUAUAACUGGGCCCUAUUGCUUCAUUUUCACCCUUCUUUUCUUUUUCAUUUUCUAUCAACUAUCAUUGGUCCGCCAAAUGACCUUCUUACCCUAAAAAUGCAAGAUGUAUCAUAUAGGGAUGAUCGAAUGUCUUUUUGGGCCACAAGCCCAUUUUGACAAAAUUUGGAUAGGCUUUAUAUAAAGGGACACGGUACCUGGGACCGAGCCCUGCUAUGUCUAAAUGACAUGACGCAAAUAAAAAUGACCUAAAGGCUUACCUAAGUUUGGGAUUUACUAACAAGGUAAUUCGGGAGAGCAUAUAGCCGAUGGUAGCUGCUCAAGCCUUCCACCCACUCCAUACGUCCGACGGCGCCCUUCUAAAUUAAGAGUGACUCAACAUAGAGUUCCUGCACGUGACGCGUGCUCCGACACUUGUUGCAGAAAGAAUUGAUCAGGUAAUGCAUAUGAUGACAGUUAAAAAGCAGUAACACAAAGGAAAACUAUAAACACAUAAAACAACUAGCAAAUAAUAAAAAGAAUAACAAUACAUACAAAUUAAAAAGAGCAAACAAAACACAUAAAAAUCUCAACCGAACAUCCUAAAAAGCCAACAAGAUCAAGUACUAGCUCGAACCUGCAAGUCCCGAGUGGAGUCGCCAAAGAUGUCACACCCCCUUUUUAGCAAAACCUCACUAAACCCUCUUAAAAAUGUAUAAAAAGAUUUAGUAAAGCUUGAAAAGGAUUUUCACUUUGAAAAGUGACAAAAUUUAUGUCCAAAAGGAUCAACUCAGAGUCGCAACCUAACAUUUGAUUUCGGUGUGUCAGGCCACCAUUUUUAAAAUGAUUUUCCCUAUGAAACACUUCGGACUCCAAAACUAAAUCCGCAUCAGAGAUUUGGAUAAGGGGUCCAUUUGACUCGGGGAGAAGCUGUUAGGAACUCCCCAAGUCCCGUAACUAGUACGAUUGUGUACUUGAUCCAUCUGCUUUUAAGAUAUUCAAAUUAAGGUAAAAACACACAAAAGAAAACAAACAAUCAAAGAGGUUCGAGGUCGUCCCCACCUAGUAAAAGAAAAUGAAAAGGAAAAGAAAAGAAAAAUUCUAAGCUAACAUAUACUACGUCUUCUCCACCACGCUUGUCGAGGCCUCCAAAAUAUUUACAUAGUUCUUCGGGGCAUAUUCCGGAUAAUAAUAUAAAUACAAAUUCUUCGGGGUAUUCCCCGGAUAAAUUCAACUACAAGAACGACUCGCCUCACGACGAACUAAAUCCUAAAGCUUGCCUACCUAAAUGUGUUCGGCCUAAGCAUACUACUAGCAGAUAAUAGAAUAAAAUAAAGUAACAAAUAUAGUACUAAAAUCUCAAUUAUUUUACUUUUAACUUCUCGCCCUAGAUCCCACAUCCAUUUCACUAUUCUUGGCCAACAUUUCCUUUCCAGAGUUUAUCAAUCUACUGCCCAUUAAUCCAACUUAAACCAAUAGUUCAUGAAUUGAUUCACUUAUCAUAAAUUAGCUCUAUUCAUAGUAGUUAAUUAAGAUGAGCAAUUUGAGUGAACUUAUAUCAACCGAGAACAUUAAGCCUUCAUCAUGUAAUUAGCAUAGCACAUGAAAAUAAUAGCACACAUAAUAAAGAGAAGGAAACGAGAGGGACCUCAAAAGUAGUUAUGAAAUUUUCUUCGACACUUGAAAAUCGUACAAGACCUUUAAGCCAAAAUCGAGCAGCGCGAACAAGAUGAAAACAAUAAUAAGAACUCAGACAGUAAUCUCGGUGUACGGCUGAACGAGACCUCGAAUCGGACUUCGAACCAACUCAAGCAAAUUUCAUUUUUGGAAAGCAAAGUAUGGAAUCUGGCCAUUAUUGAUGUCCGGUUUCUGGAGAGGAAGAAGUCUUAUGGUGGGAUUAGAGGUUUAAGGGAUGGAGGCCAUCUUUUCCGGCGAUUUUUUGGAGAAGGAUGGCGGACUGGUGGUGGAAGAAGAUGACAGCGAAGUGGUGGCCGCUAGUGGGCUAGUUAAGGUGAAGGAGAUGAAUCGAUGGGGCAGGGGUCGUGUGGAUGUGAGGAAGGGCUGUGGGAGGGUGUUUGUCCGGCGACGGCGGCUAUGGUCUUAGAGUUCUCUAGGGUUCAGCUAGGGUCUCUCCUUGGUAAAGAUGGCUUUUUCCGGCAGGUUAGCAACAUAGUGGCUGGAGACGAGUGACAGAGUUGGACGCUGGGCCAAA
rnacentral:lncRNA from 1 species